rnacentral:rRNA from 1 species
GACGAACGCUGGCGGCGUGCUUAACACAUGCAAGUCGAACGAAGAGCGAUGGAAGCUUGCUUCUAUCAAUCUUAGUGGCGAACGGGUGAGUAACGCGUAAUCAACCUGCCCUUCAGAGGGGGACAACAGUUGGAAACGACUGCUAAUACCGCAUACGAUCUAAUCUCGGCAUCGAGGAUGGAUGAAAGGUGGCCUCUACAUGUAAGCUAUCACUGAAGGAGGGGAUUGCGUCUGAUUAGCUAGUUGGAGGGGUAACGGCCCACCAAGGCGAUGAUCAGUAGCCGGUCUGAGAGGAUGAACGGCCACAUUGGGACUGAGACACGGCCCAGACUCCUACGGGAGGCAGCAGUGGGGAAUCUUCCGCAAUGGACGAAAGUCUGACGGAGCAACGCCGCGUGAGUGAUGACGGCCGUCGGGUUGUAAAGCUCUGUUAAUCGGGACGAAAGGCCUUCUUGCGAAUAGGGAGAAGGAUUGACGGUACCGGAAGAGAAAGCCACGGCUAACUACGUG